rnacentral:rRNA from 1 species
GUGGAUGCUAGCCCUUGAGGUUAAGCCAUGCAUGUUUGUGAAGCGGCUUUGUCUGCGGAUGGAUGGACGGCUCAGUGGUACUGCGGGAUCUGAUUGGGGAGCGGGAGUAGCUACGGGAAACUGUAGAUAUGGCCGUGCAGCGCGUUGCUUUUGUUUGUGGCGUGUGUCUGAGUGAGCUGCGGGCCUAUUAACUGGUAGCUAGGGUAAUGGCCUAGCUAGGUUGUGAUGGGGACGGGGGAUGAGGGUCCUAUUCCGGAGAGGGGGCCUGAGAGAUGGCCACCACGUCCAAGGAUGGCAGCAGGCGCGGAACCUGCCUGAUCCUUUGAGUUGGGAGGCGGUUAUUGGGUGUGAGUGAGUGCACGAUUGUAGAGAGAUUGUGCGGUACUGGAGGGCAAAUCGGGUGCCAGCAGCCGCGG